UCGUCAUCCGACCACCAAAUCGGAUGAAUUAGGCACCCGGGCACCAGGUGACCCGCAGGAGGGACCUUCAAAGGGUCCAGCUAGCUCAGAGUAUCUGUGAGUGGACUGUUUGUUUUAUAAACG